AGGUAGAGAAUACCAAGGCGCUUGAGAGAACUCGGGUGAAGGAACUAGGCAAAAUGGUGCCGUAACUUCGGGAGAAGGCACGCUGACACGUAGGUGAAGUGAUUUACUCACGGAGCUGAAGUCAGUCGAAGAUACCAGCUGGCUGCAACUGUUUAUUAAAAACACAGCACUGUGCAAACACGAAAGUGGACGUAUACGGUGUGACGCCUGCCCGGUGCCGGAAGGUUAAUUGAUGGGGUCAGCGCAAGCGAAGCUCCUGAUCGAAGCCCCGGUAAACGGCGGCCGUAACUAUAACGGUCCUAAGGUAGCGAAAUUCCUUGUCGGGUAAGUUCCGACCUGCACGAAUGGCGUAAUGAUGGCCAGGCUGUCUCCACCCGAGACUCAGUGAAAUUGAACUCGCUGUGAAGAUGCAGUGUACCCGCGGCAAGACGGAAAGACCCCGUGAACCUUUACUAUAGCUUGACACUGAACAUUGAGCCUUGAUGUGUAGGAUAGGUGGGAGGCUUUGAAGUGUGGACGCCAGUCUGCAUGGAGCCGACCUUGAAAUACCACCCUUUAAUGUUUGAUGUUCUAACGUGGACCCGUUACCCGGGUUGCGGACAGUGUCUGGUGGGUAGUUUGACUGGGGCGGUCUCCUCCUAAAGAGUAACGGAGGAGCACGAAGGUUGGCUAAUCCUGGUCGGACAUCAGGAGGUUAGUGCAAUGGCAUAAGCCAGCUUGACUGCGAGCGUGACGGCGCGAGCAGGUGCGAAAGCAGGUCAUAGUGAUCCGGUGGUUCUGAAUGGAAGGGCCAUCGCUCAACGGAUAAAAGGUACUCCGGGGAUAACAGGCUGAUACCGCCCAAGAGUUCAUAUCGACGGCGGUGUUUGGCACCUCGAUGUCGGCUCAUCACAUCCUGGGGCUGAAGUAGGUCCCAAGGGUAUGGCUGUUCGCCAUUUAAAGUGGUACGCGAGCUGGGUUUAGAACGUCGUGAGACAGUUCGGUCCCUAUCUGCCGUGGGCGCUGGAGAACUGAGGGGGGCUGCUCCUAGUACGAGAGGACCGGAGUGGACGCAUCACUGGUGUUCGGGUUGUCAUGCCAAUGGCACUGCCCGGUAGCUAAAUGCGGAAGAGAUAAGUGCUGAAAGCAUCUAAGCACGAAACUUGCCCCGAGAUGAGUUCUCCCUGAGACUUUAGGUCUCCUGAAGGAACGUUGAAGACGACGACGUUGAUAGGCCGGGUGUGUAAGCGCAGCGAUGCGUUGAGCUAACCGGUACUAAUGAACCGUGAGGCUUAACCUUACAACGCCG
rnacentral:rRNA from 1 species